AAGUUGGAAAAAUAUUUUAAUAGCUCAUCAUAAUCAUUUUUGGUAAUCUGCAACUUGGACAGCAUUUUCCGUUAAAAAUCAACAUUUACCUUCCAUCACAACAUGAAUUACAUAGUACAAUCAGCACUGGAAGACACAAAACAGCACUUUGUCUCUAAGAGAUCUGUCUGAAACCAGCUAACAACCACUGCCUUUUUCAUUGUGGCAAAUCUGAUGCAGUUUUCCUCUUUUGCACGACAAAAGUGGUCUAAAGCUGCUUGGACCUAGGGGAAAAGCAGGUGCGUGGAAUUGCAGGGACUCUAUCAAAAGCCAACUGUAACAAGGAUAAGGAAGACUGGUUCAGUUAUCCUCAUUUUCAAAGACAGCACAGUGACAGAGGGCAGGAAUAACCUUGGAAGCUCUUUUGUCCUUGCGAAGUGCAGGUUUGGAAGAUGUGAACCAAAAAAUGCACACAAUUAAAGACCACAUUUCCAGCUGACCUGAUUCACGUCCGCAAUUCAUGUGUACGCAAAUAACUAUUUGUGCAGCCAGUAUAUUUGAACUUCAAAAUUGUAGUUUAUGGCAGAAAAGGAGGGAGGAAUUAUAUAAUGAAAACAAAAUGCUAAAGAGAUGCAUGAAUUUUUGAACCAAUAUAAAAAAUGAGAACUGAAAAACAAGUCCAGUGUUGGAAGAUCUAGGUUGAGUAUUUCAGCCUUCAACACUUUCAUCCUGCUUUUAUUUUCACCUGUAAAACAUAUCAGAAAUUCUUCCUGAAUCACGAAGGUUUUGUUAAAUAAACACGGUAGCCC